UAAACGACUCUCGGCAACGGAUAUCUCGGCUCACGCAUCGAUGAAGAACGUAGCAAAAUGCGAUACUUGGUGUGAAUUGCAGAAUCCCGUGAACCAUCGAGUUUUUGAACGCAAGUUGCGCCCGAAGCCUUCUGGUUGAGGGCACGUCUGCCUGGGCGUCACG
rnacentral:rRNA from 9 species